rnacentral:lncRNA from 7 species
GUGUGCUUUUGGGGUUAAAUGGGGUAUUUUUGAAGAGAUAAAGCAUGAUUUUGGGGUAAAUGGGGGAUUUUCCAAGAGAAAAUGUGUGAUUUGGGGUUAAAAGGGGAUUUCUGAGGAGAAAAUGUGUGCUUUUGGGGUUAAUGGGGUAUU